CAAUGCUGAAACCCAGUUAAGCAGAUAAACACCAGGGGGAGGUGGAUUUAGGUUCUACUUGUCACAGCACCCUCUGCUGUUGAGAAAGGGCAACUGCACCUAUGGCGUUUUAGCGUUUGGAAUUUUCCAUCCUGUCACACAGAGCCUUGCAGUGUAUGUUUCUGAAUAUUUAUAGUUUUGUCACGUUCACUAUCACCCAAAGAUAACCUUGUAGCAGUACAGCGUAUCACAAGUGUCAAAUUUGACUAUAGAGGCCCUGACGCCUGUACAAUGGGUGUCUAUGUGAUACCACGAUACAUUUGUUUAAAAAAAAAACGCACCACAAGCACCAGCAGCGUUCAUGGCACUCGUAUAUAAAGAAAAUACGUUAUUGGAAACAUGCCAUCCGAGUUGUAGAAGAUGAGUUGGCUGUUUUUCUAUUGUUCAGUUGUUAGAAACAGCAUAUCAUUGCAGUAAAGGGGGACGUAGAUCCAGCUUUUCGAGCAAAUUCCAGUUUGAUCCGGUUCUUCGGACCGCAUCACUAACAAAAAAUAUUCAUCCGCGUAGCCAUCCCGUGACGUCAGCUGUCCCUGCAGUGAACGUGGAGCAUGAAAUCCUAACUUGUUCGUUAUAAAUAACCAAGUGCUGUGUUUUUACAUAUUACCAAAAAGAUAAGCACUCAAACGACAUGAACGCGGUAUCACGGUAUCAAUACAUGUUUGUCUAAGCUUGUAUGAAGAUGAACCUUGCAUCAUGACUAAGCAAUGUGUCCAAAAGUGACUUAUAAUGCAAUUGUAUUACCCCACACUGAUUCAUUCUUCAAAUAUGUGUUAAAUACAGGUCGCAUAUGUAAUCUGUAAGAGCAUAUAACCAUUUUAAACGUGUUUUAUUUGAUAAAGUCGGACUAGUUUUUUCGUCGGAUGAAUAACCCCUUUGCUGUUGACGAAUCCCCCACACAGUAUAAAUACCGCCUGAGACGCCAUUUCAACUCACUCGAGAAGAACGCGCUUUCGUCGGUCAUAUGGGCGCAGCAGGUUAAACCAAUCUUGUUUUUUGACCUAUUUAUCGUCGAAAUUUAAUCUUAACCAUCGUUUUUAGCACUAUAUCCAGCUCGUUAUCAUUAGUAACGGUGUGUUUUAAACCGGAACAAAGCGUCAGGCCAAGUCUCUACUUCGAAAGGCCUUGACAUCGAAUACUCAGCGUAACGUUCAUUCAGUGUCUACUAGAACGAUACCUUUAAUAUUUUCAACCUGUUUUUUACGACUUGAUUUUCACUUGGCAUAUGUCAGUGAAAACAGCCCUUUACUUUAUUUGCCGACGGUUAUAUGCCAUCGACUUAACACCAGGCAGAGCGAGCCAAAUUUAGGCUUACGCCACAGCAAUAACAUAGGACGUUCAGUUCUGUUUUAGUCUUGUUAACUUCCCAGCAGUGUCGAAAUAGCUUCAUCAUGUCUCAACAGACGUAUUUCAUGUUCUCGACACAGUCAGUGGACAUAGCAGCAGUAGAUAAAAUAGGUUUCGGUUCUUCCUACUUUUGUUUCAGCACUAGUUGGCCCAAGACGGGAUCCGUGACGUAGCAGUCUGUAAAUAGUUCCCAUUGGUUGGUUUGAAAAAAAAAAGCGUGACGUAGGUGUCGAAAGGGGAGCGGUCGUCUCCAGAGCUGUGCCUGCGCUGAGCGAACGCAAGUAUCUAGUCUCUACUUUGACGGAAAGGCUCUAAUACAGUCGUGCUCUUGAGUUAAUAAAAAUGCCUAUAAUUGACAAGGCUGAUCAAAAACGCGCUGUUUAGCUCAAGGCUAAAGUCGAGAUAAAGUAGCCUUUAAAGCAGGCUUUGAACAGAGGAAGCAGGAAAGUAAAGAAGGGAACUGAAGUUAUCGAGAUCAAAUCAAUUCAAUGCAUUAUUAAGGCAGUCGAUUAUACCGUGACUAGCUUUCAAUGUAAAUUAGCUUUCAAGUAAGCUGACAAAAGAAACCGAAGUACUAAAGCCAAUUGUACUUGUCAAAAUUAUAAAGAGCAAAUACUUACUACAUGUAUUAUUGACAAGGCAGUGUGAACUGCUCAAGACAAAUGUUCAAUGUAAAUUAACCUUAAAGCAAGAUUAGAAGAAAGCUGCGAUGUUAACAGCAGAUCUUAAGCCAAAGAACUCGCAAAGGUUCUAAAGAGUAAAUUGUUUACUCAAUUAUGAUUUAGCAAAAGCAAUAAAACCAGGCACGCAUAUAUAAAGUAGGCCUAAGACGAGAGAUCUCAAACGUCUUUCAGGCUAGAUUAUAUCUUCAUCAGCAACAUAUGACGUGGCCUUUCACCACUCUUAGAUUAAACAGACAAAAGUCAGAGAGGUCAGUCAUGUUUAAAAUUGAGUCCUUUCAAGAAAUCUGAAAAUAAUGACUUGUCUAAGAAGAGAGUUUAGAUUGUGUAUUAAUACCAAAGAUGCUUUCAAGACAAUCAGUUUUGUGAAUGAGGCUCUGACCUCAGUCUUCUUGAAUCCAUGCCACUGUUUGCAAGAGGCUUUAGAGGCAAUUACGCCUUUUUUUAACUCCUUGAGAUGCACUCAAGUGAUUUUAUUUCUUUUUUUGCGAUCAAUUUUGUUAAGUUCCAGUGAUUUCAUUUGAUUAUACCAAGAGGAAAAUUUGAAACCUCAAGAAGGAAAAAAAAAAAAAAAAAAAAGCAGAUCAUUCCAGUGCUGCUCUUAUGUUAGCUCAAGGAAUCGCAGGCAAAGAGAAAAACCACAAGUUGUUUUUUUUUCUUUUUUAAGUUGUCACUUUUAUUGCUUAGAGAAGACGGAAGAUUUUUUUUUUUCUUUCAUUUCUUCGGGGGAUAAAUGGACUGAGUUGUCAAGGGGAAGAAUGGACUUAGUUAUGAGAGGAGGAUCGCAGGACCAGCGCGGAGUGAGGCCGAGGAACACAGGGAGCACCAGUGGAGCCAGGCAGGACAGGACCAGAGGGCGUGGGCCACCAGAGUGUGGAGCCAGGCAGGACAGGACCAGGGGGCAUGGAAGGGAAAAGCAGAGUGAGCCCGAGGGAGCAGGAAGCAGCAGCUGUCUUCGAGUGUACACCAGAGGGAGCCAGAGGCGCAGGGCAGGGUAGCGGCACAGAGAGGCCAACGCAGUCGCAGCAGCAGCUCCUGAGCAGGCCAGCCAGCCAGCCAGUGAUGAGGGGUGGGACAGGGAGCGCAAGUGUCUUCUAGCUACGCAAGUUUAUAGCAGGAGUUGGUUUGUAUAUUGGGUUGAGGUACCUCCUGUAACAUUUAAGGUAUUGCAUAUUUUAAGUUCAUUUUAGAAACUGUUUAGAACACAAUUUCUUGCACAGCUCUCUCUUCCUCUUUUCAGGCAAGCCGUGUAAAGCGUUUUGUACCGUGGUUCCCUCUCCCGUUGUGCGAUGACAUGAGUGUGGUGGUUUCGGCUGUGAUGAAUGCCUUGGUAGUGUGCUGACGAGGAACAUCCUUUCGGACUUCUGCCCCCUGCAGUACGAAGUAGUUCCCCCCCCCAGCCGAAGGGAGAGGCAGUCCUCUUGUUGUUCGAUAGGUCUUCCCGAGGAAGUUUCAGCAUUGGAGUGUGAGAGUGGAUGGUCUCCCGUGCAGCCGAUUGAGUGUGUACAGCAACCCUUCGGUGCUUCAUCUGCUCGUCAGUGGUACAGAUCAGCUACAUCUACCUCUUUAUCUAAGCAGCCUGGCCCUCUAAAGCUGAUCAUCGAAAGAGUCCCCCCGUGCUAGCCCCUCGGUACAAGUUGAGCACAUCUUAUUGUCGAUUAUGCUAUGGAUCUGGAUCAUGUCUGUCCACUGCGUUUAAAGAGAUGUAGGAAGGUAUUUUGUAUCUCUUAGGUCCAUUUGAUUGUCUUUUGUAUGAACACUUAAGACCAUGUUGAAAUGGGGUUUGCACAUAUUUUGGGUAAUGGGAGGGUGGGUUGUGGGGCGUUAAUCAGUCUCUUCCCAGAAUUUACAGCUUCGUGUAACCCAACCCAAAAUGGCUUGAAUAGGCAACACCCAGGUGCACCCUUCAAGAUUCAAGUGGACACUUUGCCUCUCAGGAUAGCAACCUCGAAACUAGUCUCCUGAUGUAGCAAGAAGCUCUGUUUUCCAAGGGAGUGUGGUAACAAGUCUCUUUACUAGAAAUCAUUGUAAUUUGGUAUUGGUAAAGGUUGAUGUUGCUUUGUUGGGUUUGGAGUGGGUUGUGUAUUUGUGACUCUUACAGAUUAAGUUACACGACCUCCCCUUUGAAAAAUCUACCUCCACGUCUGCAGUCGUAAGGAUGGAACCCCUCGCGUUCAUACUUGCGGUAUUUAAAAAAAAAAAGGUCCUGAAAAUAGAAUAACUUUUACAAAAUGUAUUCUUCAUAGUCGCACAGUGUCCUUUUGUAAGGGUAUUUUGAAAUUCCAUUAUUGUCCUGUAGUUGUGUACUGCUUUUAGGGGUAUUGUGGGGAGGUAUUUUCCUUUGCAUUUUUCAGUGUGCUGUGUCCUGUGCGCUUUCCAAUACCCAAGACCAUCAGGAAAUCCUAACUCAUUGUAUGUUCAAGUUUCCUUGCGCAUAGAGCAUCACGUAAGGUCACUAAAUGUGUCACUUCUCCUUAACAUUCAUUGUCUGGCUAAAAUGCCUCCAUUGAAAUUCCUUUGCAAUUAGUUACUGUGCCUUGUAUUAACAAUACAAUGAGUAAACUAUCUGUAAAGGAUUUGUUAUUGCAUAAUAAAUGCAUAGCUUGUCGUGAUUGAAUACAGUUCUGGUAUGCAUUUGUUCUUCUUGGGGGGGCUUGUGUGGGGGAGCUUUUCUUGUGCUUUUUCAGGUGUGACUAAAGCUUGGAGCUUUGUAGAGCACGGAUGUGACCUGGGCUCGAAUGACCACCUUUUCAAAGUGGAAGAAUUGAAGGCAGAUAAGUUGAAUCCAUCAAAUAUAGCUGUUGGAAAGCAGAACGUUUUCAGCCCAUGAUGGGUUACUUAAAUCUUGAAUGGGCAAAACUGCCCUCAUUUUUUUUUUUUUAAAUGACAGCAACUUGCUGAACUUGAUUGUUGAAGUAGCACUGCUGUGCUUUCUUAACAAGAGUCUUGUGAUAACGGGAAGAUUUGAUGGAGCUUCAUUGAUUCUGACAUUAUCUGCAGUAAAGCAUUUGGGUAAGGAUAACAAUAGUCAGUUCUACGAUCCUGUGGGGGGUAUAGGGGUGUCUCUUUUCUGCCUCUUUGAUCUUUCAGAACAGUCCAAAGGAAGAAUGCAGUCUACCUAGGACAACACAGGAAUCAUCUUGCCCCUUCAAUCAAUCAACAUGCAGUUUGAACAUGUGGAGUCAGGUUGUUUUUGAUGUGUUUACACAUUGGAACACUUAGCCCUCAGCUGCUAGCCCUUGCGCAACUGUGCAUGUGGCAGUUUGUAAAAAAUGAUUUUGCUAUCGCGCAACUGUGCGACGUUCUCAAAGUGAAGGCAGCUGAGGAAAGCUGUGCAUUGUAUAGCUUUUAAUCUGGUUGUGAAAUGCAGCGCAAAUGUGUUGCCUUAGUUUAUUCUCUGCAUUCGUUUUUGUUUGGGCGUAUCCCUAUACUUCUCUUUACAGAAAUCAGAGUGCAAGACUGGUUGAAGGACAAGCGAGUCCAAGGCCUCUGACCUGGAGUGUAUAGUAAGAUGUUGGUUUAACUUGUCAAAAUUGACUUCUGCAAUGUAGUUGACAAAAUGACAUCUUGGAACUGGCUUUAUGUUAACCUCAAAUCAUGAGUAUUAAUGCUUUACUUGCAUAUUCCUCUUUGGCCACGGGGCCCUUUUUUGCUUUGCAUCUUAAACCAUAAGAUGAGUAGAACUCGAAUCUUUGAGUAUUGUGUGGUGGGUGUGUUGUGUAGAUCACUCUUUGUUUCAGAUCAUUUUCGUCUGUCCGCUCCGAUCUCACCUGCCUCUGAAUGCAAAGCCAUCUGUGGAAGCUGUCGGCCAAUAUGAGUGUGGCUCCUGAAUGAAGUACCAACCCUCCCCUGUGCGCUUGAGCUUAAAUCUGAACCCCCUCCAACAUCCUUCGCAGAAGCCCCGCUCUCUGUGUGUUUGUGUGUGCCUUUUUCUUUCCCCUUUGGUUUCUCAGGUCAAAUUAACCCUAAAGUAAUCUUAAAUUUUCAUCUGGGACGGCCUUACCUGUGAUGGAACACUGAGAAUCCACUCACGUUGAGAUCAAGAGCUGCAAGCUUGUUUCGCUAAUACUGCAUCACGUCAGUCUCAUGGGUGCUGAGUUAAGUAAUGGUUCCCCUUGAUUUUUUUCUUUAACAUAUCAUGGCUUUAAUGUGUAACUCACAUAUUUGCAUGCACAUCAGCUCUGCAUAACAUUUUAUUCUUGGAACGCAACAUAAUCACAAAGUUGUCGUCAAACAUUGCAGUAUUUGGUUGGGGUUUUUGGGGUGGGGCAACACUCUUCUCUCUUCCUUUCAGAUUUAUUGUUCAGCUUAACUUAAUACUGAGCCUGGCGACAUAGUGCUCUGCAGGGAGUCACGGAUCGGUUGGUACAGCCACCUUUUGGGGUAAAAUCUUAAACUAUGAAGAAUCGCGCAUCACCGAGGAUGAAUAGUUGUGGUGAAUGCUGCUUUGGCAGUCGCGGUAAACACUAUCCAUGUUAACUAAACUUGUCAUGUUCAACUUUUGAUAUAAAGUGUGGGUUGAUGUGGGAGGGGGGUGGGGUUGGGGAGGCUUAAAUUGUCUUUGUGUCUUUCCAUUUCAGCUGUAACCUCGGUGAACAAGCCUUCAGUCUUUUUGACGUGCACGUCCUGCUGAAUUGCAAAAGGAAAACAGCUUUUGGGUUUCACCAGGGAUUCUGGCAUCUUGGCUUUGUGUAAAUAUGGAUAACAGGAUUGGAUCUCAUCAGUCAAACCUACCGUGUUGUUGGGGGAUGCUGGGGAUUGGGGAAACCAGUUGUCUCUCUUCUAGUUUCAGGCUCGUGACCAAGAGAAAUCCUCAUGCGGUGACAAAAUAAUGUAGCAGCCAGGUGUAAUGGGUUUUCUUUUCCUGGAGGAACAAACCUCUGGUCUUGUUCCUCCAGGUUUUGCUUUUGCCCUCUUACAGCAACAACAAAAAGCAAAAGACUCCGGUGGUGGCACUCCUGACUUCUGUCUUGACGGGGUUCAAUUCCCUGCGGUGUCUUGCUUUAGCGAUGUCUGCUGUUCGGGUGAACUGAAAACUCAUUUUCUUGAUAAUUUGGAGAACAAUUAGACCUGGCACUUUUCCAACCGCUUAGUCCAACAAUUGAAACUCUGGAGCUACAGGAAGUUAGUGGUCACGAUAUUUAAGUCAGGUUCACUUUGGCUCAUGUAUUUUUUAGUAGGAGCCUGUAAUCUGAACUAGCAUACACUGUAUUAAUUACACAUUGUAACUUCGUCCAAACAGAACUUCUGUCAGCAAUAUUUUUGUAUAUAUCUAUGUACCAAUGUGAUUUCAACUUAAUCAAUGUUUUAAGUGAAAUCAAUGUAUUAAACAUUGUCCUUUUGAAA